rnacentral:lncRNA from 1 species
CCACCACCAUCUUUCUGCAUCAUCCCCACGAAAUCAGGUUAGAUCUCUUUCUAAACACACUCACCACCACCACAACCACCACUAGCACCACCACAAUCCCCAUCUUCCACCGUAAACCAAUCAAACCCACUAGCCUUAUCGUUCGGUGCAAACACCGUCAAUCCAAUCAAAGCUCCAGAUUCAAUCGAUUGAUUAUCAGCAUCCUCCGUGGAAGCUUGUUGACCUUUGACCGACUUAAAGCACGGUUAUCUUCUUCAACAACAAAAAACCCUAACCCAUAUUUCCCAUCCGCACAAAAGGUCAAAACCCAUUAGCUUUGGAUCAAACAUCAGCACUCUCUCUCUCUCUCUCUCUCUCAAGAACACCACUGGUUGAAAGGGGCGAUCCCUGUCUCCUCCAUGCGGUUCCCAGCAAGCUGGAUCGUUUGCCUUCACAGGCCCAGUGACCACAAAAGAUUUAGGCGCGGAGUGAUUGCGGGCAAUAACUGAAAGGUCGAGUAGAUUAUGAGCUUUGAAAGAUGAUGAAGAAGUUUAUAUUAAAGAGAAAUCGAAUUACAAAAUGAUUGAAAAAAAAAAGGAACUCUAUUGUACAUUGAAGUGAAUAUGGUGAUGACUUAUGUGAAAGGAAAAUUAGAUGGACCAUGAGUUGGGCUCUAUAAAUAGAAAGGUCUUGGUGGGUUGUAAUUAGUUAAUAUGGGCUGAACCAAACAAGUCCACUUGGGCUACCAAGAAGAAAAAAGAAACGAAAACACAAAGGAAGGGGAGUUUGGCAAGUGGAGAUAAUAUAACAUCAUCUUGACGGCUGGAACGAAGAUCGCAAGAAGGCAUUUUAUCUUUUGUGAUU